UGAUUAAUAUUCGAUUCUCGGGACGCGAAUUGUUUACUACCAUGAGUAUUUACCUACAUUCGUUUGUUACAAGAGGAUGACAAGAAUAACAAUACUGAGUGCCAAGAUUUUUAAAAAUAGUCUUUAAAAUAUCAUCGCCUUUCGUUGCUUUUCGAUUUAAUGUGAUCUGUGAACGACUCGACUCAACAAUAAUCCUAGUGAAUAAUCUUCGUCGAAACCACGUGGAUGCAACAACUUGUAGUCAACGAUAUCCUCGAGUCGAUAAUAUCUCCUUCGACUUGGAACGUGGAUAAAGAGCAAGGGUCACAUUGGAAAAGGAAAAGGACAGAAACGGAAAUUACAUACUAUUUCAAUAUGAAACCAACGUGUGAUGUGUAAACCUGCAUAAAGAAGCUUUCUCUUUAAUCUAUAAAAGGGUGCAUAUCGGCCAACAUGAUGAAUUGAAGAGAAAUUGUAGUUAAAAGUACCAAAGAGAACCAUGAAGUCUUGAAACGACGUAAAUCCAAGAGCGCACAGAUUAUUUCUGAGCUUUUCUCUGAACAUCGUCGAGAUGACAUUCGAGAUCCUGAUCGCUGAUUCUGUCGUAUUUCCAUUAUGAACACAUCCGACCGGCAGUGAUGUCGAUCUACGCGAAGAUGAGGCCAACAAAGAGGCUAGGGAAGAACCUUAAGGGAGCUGUGAAAAAAAAAACGAUCUCGUGGAGAAUUUUCUUCGAGGGGUUGUUGUAUUAUGGGCUGGGUUGAAUUGACUACCCCUUCAUGAGUCGUUUUAAAAGUCGUUCAGCGUAUAGUCUGUUCUACGAAAUAUUUACCUUACCAUACGUACG
rnacentral:misc_RNA from 1 species